GCAUCGGCAGCUUACGUGCCGUCGGAGGGAGUGCUUGGGGCUUGCUCCUGGGGGGUGAGUGGCGAACGGGUGAGUAACAGGGGAGGAACCGGCCCUCUUCUUCGGGAUAACGGUUGGAAACGGCUGCUAAUACCGGGUAUUCACUGGUCCUCGCAUGGGGGUUGGUGGAAAGGGGUGUUUCUGGUGGGGGAUGGGCUCGCGGCUUAUCAGCUUGUUGGUGGGGUGAUGGCUGACCAAGGCUUUGAGGGGUAGCCGGGCUGAUAGGGUGACCGGUCACAUUGGGACUGAGAUACGGCCCAUACUCCUACGGGAGGCAGCAGUGGGGAAUUUUGCACAAUGGGCGCAAGCCUGAUGCAGCGACGCCGCGUGAGGGAUGGAGGCCUUCGGGUUGGGAACCUCUUUCGCUCAUGGUCAAGCCGCAGUUUUGGCUGUGGUGAGGGUAGUGGGUAAAGAAGCGCCGGCUAACUACGUGCC
rnacentral:rRNA from 1 species